GACGAACGCUGGCGGCGUGCUUAACACAUGCAAGUCGAACGGAAAGGCCCUGCUUUUGUGGGGUGCUCGAGUGGCGAACGGGUGAGUAACACGUGAGUAACCUGCCCUUGACUUUGGGAUAACUUCAGGAAACUGGGGCUAAUACCGGAUAGGAGCUCCUGCUGCAUGGUGGGGGUUGGAAAGUUUCGGCGGUUGGGGAUGGACUCGCGGCUUAUCAGCUUGUUGGUGGGGUAGUGGCUUACCAAGGCUUUGACGGGUAGCCGGCCUGAGAGGGUGACCGGCCACAUUGGGACUGAGAUACGGCCCAGACUCCUACGGGAGGCAGCAGUGGGGAAUAUUGCACAAUGGGCGGAAGCCUGAUGCAGCAACGCCGCGUGCGGGAUGACGGCCUUCGGGUUGUAAACCGCUUACGCCUGUGACGAAGCGUGAGUGACGGUAAUGGGUAAAGAAGCACCGGCUAACUACGUG
rnacentral:rRNA from 1 species